rnacentral:rRNA from 1 species
GAUGAACGCUAGCGGCAGGCCUAAUACAUGCAAGUCGGACGGGAUUUGGGAGCUUGCCCCCAAUGAGAGUGGCGCACGGGUGCGUAACACGUAUGUAACCUACCUUAAUCAGGGGGAUAGCCUCUCGAAAGAGAGAUUAACACCGCAUAACAUAUUUUUAUGGCAUCGUAGAAAUAUCAAAUAUUUAUAGGAUUAAGAUGGGCAUGCGGAACAUUAGCUAGUUGGUAAGGUAACGGCUUACCAAGGCUACGAUGUUUAGGGGAUCUGAGAGGAUGACCCCCCACACUGGUACUGAGACACGGACCAGACUCCUACGGGAGGCAGCAGUAAGGAAUAUUGGUCAAUGGGCGCAAGCCUGAACCAGCCAUGCCGCGUGCAGGAAGACGGCCCUAUGGGUUGUAAACUGCUUUUGUACCGGAAUAAACCCUUUUACGUGUAAAAGGCUGAAUGUACGGUAAGAAUAAGGAUCGGCUAACUCCGUGCCAGCAGCCGCGGUAA